rnacentral:rRNA from 1 species
AUUGAACGCUGGCGGCAGGCCUAACACAUGCAAGUCGAACGAGUGGCGGACGGGUGAGUAAUGUCUGGGAAACUGCCUGAUGGAGGGGGAUAACUACUGGAAACGGUAGCUAAUACCGCAUACCAUCGGAUGUGCCCAGAUGGGAUUAGCUAGUAGGUGGGGUAAAGGCUCACCUAGGCGACGAUCCCUAGCUGGUCUGAGCGGCGGACCAGCUACACUGGAGCUGAGUCACGGUCCAGAAUCCUACGGGAGGCAGCAGAGGGGAAUAUUGCACAAUGGGCGCAAGCCUGAUGAGGCCAUGCCGCGUGGAUGAAGAGGGCCUUCGGGUUGUAAAGUACUUUCAGAGGGGAGGCGUUACCCACAGAGGAAGCGCCGGCUAACUCCGUGCCAGCAGCCGCGGUAAUUC